CAGAAUAUAACUUAACUUAAAGUAUUUUGCUUACACCAAAACUAUAUUUGUGCGGAUCAAAUUAUUCUGA
rnacentral:tRNA from 1 species